CCAGUGUUAAUGGGGAGAGACCAACAAGAAGAUGCUUUGGGAGUUUCAAUGCAGGGUUCUGUGCUCUGACAUGGAUCUUCUGUUCCAUAAGGAAACUGCUGCAACACAGAGGCUAAGAAACUCCAGUGUGUUCUUGAGAUGUGUUAAUUCCAAUAAGAAUUGCUCCAGUAAUGACUAUGGUCAGAAGCACCAGGAUAACAGAGAUGAAGAUUAUUUGCUUCCUGUCCUUGGGAACUGUAGAGUGAUUGCCUACACCUUGCCAACAAGAACAUGGGAAGUUGACAUAGAGUUGCAGGAAUUGCUAAUAACGUAUCUAUACA